AAAGAUUGGACAACCCAGGGUUGCUGAGGAAAAGCCCCUGAACAGGCCCCUGACUGCAGGCAGCCCUGAGAGUCCUUGGCAAGGUAUACAGCUGCCCGGCUCCCCCCCUCAUUAGAGGCCAUCUAGAGGGACUGGGUGUGAAUCUUUGCAAAAGUAGAUGUAAGUUGGCAUAGUUGAACAAUAAGGGGAGAACAAUGCUUAAUCGUAUCGGUGUACAUGUCAUUUAUGCGGCCAGCUCUCCGGACUCGGUCCCUAACACCUGUCCUCCUCCUGUCCCCCUGUGCCCCUUUUCUUGGACAAGUCUCAAAUGGCAACACACAUUCCCAAAGACUGUCUGCUUCCUUAAAUCCACGGACCAGCUAGUGCUGUCACUCAACAGCUGAAAUGAGCUUUCAGAGCCUAGAAAUUAGCAGGAGUGACAAACAAAUGGAUUUGAAUCUGGAAAUAGGUGAGGUCCACCCACCCACUGCUGCUGAUGCAGAGACGGGCUCAGGGCAUCUGCGCAGCCCUUCCCUUUGGCACUGAUCCUGCACUGGAAUGUUGUGUUGUUGCCAAACCGGGCCUCAAACCAGGAGAAGGUAAGCCCUGACCAUUUGCCCCUGACCCUGGCACACCCACAGUGUGUUAUGUGGAGCGUGUGCCUCAGCUGGUGUCACUUGAGUUUCACCAGAGUUGCAAGUUGGCUCCUGCUCUGGGCGAUUCCGAGUGACCAUCACAUCAGUUCUGCACUAAGCACCAUUUAGCCAGACCCAGAGAUUUGGCCACAUAGUGACUUCUGAACAGAAAAUCAAAAUGCAGGAAAAGUGCCAGGACCGCGGACGGGCCUGGGUACAGCACAGUCUUUGUGGGUCACUGUCACUCCAGGCCCUUACAGUCUCUCCUCAUCUUUCUUGUAGGCUCCCUUCAGGUACAGGAGCCAUUGCUCACUGGUGUUUUUGACUAUUCUCUGCCAAGGAAAUGAGUUGAAUUUCCUUGUCAAAUCUUAUAGGCUUUUAUACUUGGGCUUCUCUGCUGUGGGAUUCAUACUCAGAGACUGGUGUUGGUGUCUGGACACUUCCAGAAGGUGGAUGUUAUCCCUGGAUGUAUAAAGAAAACGCCUAUCCAUCAUCUCUCAGGCAAUGAGAGCGGUGCAGGUGUCUGGCAUGGCAGCCUUUCCACCAGUUCACUGGUUGAGCUGGUGCCAAGGGAGGCCGUAUGGAGCUGAUGACUUCCUGCCUGUGUUGACAUAGGCCCUAGCCCAGUGUGAUGAGCUGGAGACUGAAAUCGAAUACAUGACAGAGUGGCUGGAUCCAUCCUUGGUGUAUGGAGAAGCUAAAGGCUGAGAGGGGACACUGUCGGUAAUACAGAAAAUACUACCCUGUGUACAGAACGCAUCUCUGAACGCCUCUGAACAGACUGUGCCGCCUCUUAGCUGGACACUCCCACCCAAAUGGCUGACUUGGAAAAGAUAAGACAGACAGUGGGUCUCCUGUUGCUGCGGACCGUUACCUCCCGUCGAGACUCUUUUACUUUGUGACCUGCAGCUUCUUUUGUACAGCUUCUGUUGUGGCUUUAAUUUGUUCUCUGUUUGUGUAAUAAAGGUGGAGUAUGCAGGACUGUACACACCAUCUCCCGAACAAGUUGGACAUUAUGGGGAAUGCCACAAAGGUGACAGACCAGUUGUUGUUUUAAAAACAAAGGCAACCCUUUGGGAUGAUUGCAGAGUACAAAUCUCACACUCAAUUGUUGCUUUAUUGCCACUAAGAGCGGUUGCUUUGAUGUUGAUGAACACCGGUAGAUUGUCUUUUACUUUGUUUAAGCAGCCGUGUUUAUUUCAUCCACCUCUGAAGCUUGGGAAGAAGACAAAACCCUGUUAGAUAAUCAUUUAAAAUAAAGCUGGUGUUCCAAGAGUAGAGGAAUAAACACGUGGGAGUAAAGGAGAGACAGGAGUCAUUUAAGGAAUCGGCUUUCCUCAGCAUGAGGGGACCCAGCCGUAGGCACCGCCGUAUCAUAUGGAGCACAUGCAACCACUGAAUGCGUCUCAGUGGCUGAGAAUACACCCUCCAGCGUUUUGCAGGCCAAUGAGCUGUUUUCCUUUUGUGUGUAAAUAUUUUGGCCAUAGAAUAAAGGGACUUUCUGUA